rnacentral:lncRNA from 1 species
AUGGGGAGAAAUCCUUUGUUCUGGGACAGGUGUGAGCCUGAGUGCCCUAUGGUGCAACCGCUUGAAUUCCUAGCCACAUUACACGCUUCUAAUGUCAUUUGGAUGUCCUGGGACUCCAAAUUUAGCACUCCUCAAUCCACACACAUAAGAAGAUUUGUGGAUUUAAAUUCUUUUUGUGAGGCUGUGAAUAUGAAAACAUAUUCACCUCCUUCUCAUGUGAUCCUAAUCCUGGUUAAUCGUGUUUCUCUGGGGCACUUCUCCACACUGCCUACUCUGAGCCACUAUUUGUGCUUCAGGGGAAUCUUUUUAUUUCCCCCAAGUUCCCCAGCAAAGGAACAAGCAGGAGGCACCAAGGUGCAAAGAGGAAGAUUUGGAAGCACAUCGAAGGGUUCUCCCAACCUGCUGGCACUGCUGGACUGUGGGGGAAAUGGGCAAGCGUCGAUGCAGAAAGGAGCAGGGAAACAGAGGCUCCAAAGGAAACAGGCUUCCCAAGUCACCGCCAUGGAGACUAGGCCACUCUCUCAACUCCCACAGGGUGUCCCGUGCACCCCUCUCCAGUUCAGCCACCAUGUGCCAGUUGCAAUCACUGCUGUCGUUGCUCACAAGCCAGCCGGGCUCCCCCUUGCCUUCAGUCCCCAAGUCCGUGUUCCUCAGGACUUCCAUGAUCCAACUCCACCCACAGCAGCCACUCUGAAGGGCAUCCUGUUUGCUGAAACAUACCGAUGUCUCCAUCAUCACCACCAUGUGCUUUUUUGGGCACAGGCCUGGUUUACCCUCCCCUUCUGCCCUCCUCUGUCAGUGCUAAGCCUCCUGCCUCCGUGGCCACCUGCCUUACACAGCCUUCCUUGUCUCUUUGGUUGUCAUUCACCUGCCACUUGUGGAUCGCUACGGCCCUUGGCGUCAUGUCCUGGGAGGCACUGGUCCCUCAUGAGCAGAUUUCUAUGUGUGAACUGCCCUGGGCUGGAUCCUGGAGCCGGCCUAGUCUGUGGCUUCGCUAUCUAG